GAUGAACGCUGGCGGCGUGCCUAAUACAUGCAAGUCGAGCGAACGGACGAGAAGCUUGCUUCUCUGAUGUUAGCGGCGGACGGGUGAGUAACACGUGGAUAACCUACCUAUAAGACUGGGAUAACUUCGGGAAACCGGAGCUAAUACCGGAUAAUAUUUUGAACCGCGUGGUUCAUAAGUGAAAGACGGUCUUGCUGUCACUUAUAGAUGGAUCCGCGCUGCAUUAGCUAGUUGGUAAGGUAACGGCUUACCAAGGCAACGAUGCAUAGCCGACCUGAGAGGGUGAUCGGCCACACUGGAACUGAGACACGGUCCAGACUCCUACGGGAGGCAGCAGUAGGGAAUCUUCCGCAAUGGGCGAAAGCCUGACGGAGCAACGCCGCGUGAGUGAUGAAGGUCUUCGGAUCGUAAAACUCUGUUAUUAGGGAAGAACAUAUGUGUAAGUAACUGUGCACAUCUUGACGGUACCUAAUCAGAAAGCCACGGCUAACUACGUGCCAGCAGCCGCGGUAAUACGUAGGUGGCAAGCGUUAUCCGGAAUUAUUGGGCGUAAAGCGCGCGUAGGCGGUUUUUUAAGUCUGAUGUGAAAGCCCACGGCUCAACCGUGGAGGGUCAUUGGAAACUGGAAAACUUGAGUGCAGAAGAGGAAAGUGGAAUUCCAUGUGUAGCGGUGAAAUGCGCAGAGAUAUGGAGGAACACCAGUGGCGAAGGCGACUUUCUGGUCUGUAACUGACGCUGAUGUGCGAAAGCGUGGGGAUCAAACAGGAUUAGAUACCCUGGUAGUCCACGCCGUAAACGAUGAGUGCUAAGUGUUAGGGGGUUUCCGCCCCUUAGUGCUGCAGCUAACGCAUUAAGCACUCCGCCUGGGGAGUACGACCGCAAGGUUGAAACUCAAAGGAAUUGACGGGGACCCGCACAAGCGGUGGAGCAUGUGGUUUAAUUCGAAGCAACGCGAAGAACCUUACCAAAUCUUGACAUCCCUUGACAACUCUAGAGAUAGAGCCUUCCCCUUCGGGGGACAAAGUGACAGGUGGUGCAUGGUUGUCGUCAGCUCGUGUCGUGAGAUGUUGGGUUAAGUCCCGCAACGAGCGCAACCCUUAAGCUUAGUUGCCAUCAUUAAGUUGGGCACUCUAAGUUGACUGCCGGUGACAAACCGGAGGAAGGUGGGGAUGACGUCAAAUCAUCAUGCCCCUUAUGAUUUGGGCUACACACGUGCUACAAUGGACAAUACAAAGGGCAGCGAAACCGCGAGGUCAAGCAAAUCCCAUAAAGUUGUUCUCAGUUCGGAUUGUAGUCUGCAACUCGACUACAUGAAGCUGGAAUCGCUAGUAAUCGUAGAUCAGCAUGCUACGGUGAAUACGUUCCCGGGUCU
rnacentral:rRNA from 1 species